ACGAAAUUCCGGUCACUGGCCAUCCCGGUUGAAUUUCCGGAAAAAUAAUUAAUUAAAUAAAUAAAUUUCGAAAAUAAAUAAAUAAACAUUAAAAAUCCAAUUUAGGCCUAUAUUGCCUUAUUGGAGCCCGAAACGGGUCGGGAAAAAUCCCGAGAUGCAUUCAAUAAAUAACCAAACAUUUGUACUUGCUAAUAGCUAGGUCUAACCACCUAACAUGCAUCAUUAAGUCACUAAAUUAAUUGUUCUAACCUAAUCUAACCACCUAAGUGCACUUAAUUAAAUCUAACCAACCCUAAGGCAUAAUUAGCAAACUAAUAAAGCAUUAGUGAGUAAAACUCACUUGACAAAAGCGGAGAUCGAAUCACCGCAACGGCGACGCGACGGCGGCCGAAAUCGGACUUCCGACAACACCGGCGGGCUUGGACCGGGCUUAAGACUUGGCCCAACAAAUCUCAGCCCAACUAAGAUUUGUUCUUGCUUUUGGGCCAAACUCAAGUUGAAUUGGGCCUGCUGAAAUUUCUGGACUGACUUCACUUGGGCUUCAAAUUUCUUUGCUGGAAAUUGGGCCUCCAAUUUCAGUUGAUGGACUGCUGAACUGGGCUUGACUAAUUACUUCACUUGGAUUGGACUGGGCUUGAAGAUUGCAGGAGAUGGGCCUCAAUAAAAUUCUGCUGAUGGGCUGCUAUUGGUGAGAUUCGAUUGGGCUGACUUGCGGGGCUUGAGCAGAAGCUUCGUUGGACUGCUGGACUUGUGUUGGGCCAUUGAUGCGGCUGAUUGAGGCCUAGAAUUGCUGGGCUUCAAGGACUAAAUUCCUAUGGUCUCAAAAUGCGAACUGCAAGGGAAAUGGACGCAGGCUUCUUCGGUCCUCGUGGCAGCUCGACGGAUGAUGCUUCGUUUGCUUGAUUCGGCUGACUCGGUGAAUUCCACACGGUUAGAUGAAGGCCGCGAGCUGGGUAGACCGAAGCUGAGAAAGACGCAUGGAUGCUUGGACGGCAGAGCUGGCGUGCGGUCCACGACGAAGGAGUUCGCUGGUGUCAAGCUGCGGGCUCUGCCGUUGCUUCGUUUGGGCCGUGAGGGAGUCAACGAAGAGGAGAACUCCACCGCUCGUUGACUCAAGCGUGAGCUGAAGACGAAGAUGCGUGGAGACUUCCUCCUUCGGUGGUGAUGCUCGGUCAACUAUUGCUUCGCUCGAUGGAGUCUUUGGUCAGCAAGGCUUCACGAAAAUUGAAGCCGCGUGGAGCUCGGAUCUUUGUGGGUAGAAGACGCGAACGAGGGAGCUUGCAGCUGCAGGGAAUUUGCCCGGUCUUCUUCAGCGGCUGUUGAAGAUGUCGCACCAAAAAUGAAAAGGGGAGG
rnacentral:lncRNA from 1 species